ensembl:snRNA U6 U6 spliceosomal RNA
GUGCUCACUUCAGCAGCACAUAUACUAAAAUUGGAAGGAUACACAGAAGAUUAGCAUGGCCCCUGCAUAAGGAUGACACACCAAUUCAUGAAGCAUUCUCUAUUUCU